rnacentral:rRNA from 1 species
GAGUUUGAUCUGACUCAAGGAUGAACUGCGCGUGUAAUACAUGCAGUCGAGGGCAGAUAAGAGCCUGCUCCUUUGAGUUAUCGGGGACGGGUAGUAACGCCGUGGUAACCUACCUAUAGCCUGUAAUAACUCGGGAACCCAGCUAAUCCGGAUCAUAUAAUCCGCAUGGUUCUAUAGUAAAAUGGUUGCAUCACUAUAGAUGGUCCGCCCGUUUAGCUAGUGGUAAGGUAAUGGCUUACCAAGCACAUGCGUACCGACCUGAGAGGGUGUCGCCCGCUGGAACUGAGGCUCGGUCCAGCUCCUACGGGAGGCAGCAGUAGGGAAUCUCCGCAAUGGCGAAAGCCUGGCGAGCACCGCGUGAGUGAUGAAGGUUUUCGGAUCGUAAACUCUGUUAUUAGGGAAGAACAAUGCGUAAGUACUGUGCGCAUCUUUCGGUACCUAUCAAGAGCACGGAGGGGUC